GUGCACUCUGAAACUCCGGAAGUUUUUACGUACCCGGGAACGAGAAUAGCAACACUGACGCACUCGGACUGCACUAGAUGCUUCUAGAGCUUUCACUGAGCUUCCAGGGACCUGCAAGAGAGCAGCCGGUUUGAAUAGGGGGCGCCAAAGCUAAUGCUAUCAGGGGCAGUAAUGUAAUAUGAACCUGCAGGCCCGGAGACCCAACAACGCUCUCAGGAUCCUGGCUUUUUUGAGACAGCGUCUCCUACCGACUGGAGGACUAACUGCACCCUCAGGACGAUUUCAGCACUUGAUCAGACGUCCUGGUCCCUUUGCUGAAAAACAGCCCCAAAGCAUGAUGUUUACACCCCAAUGCUUUAUAGUAGGUAUGCCAUUCUUUCUCCUCCAAACAGUGGAGUUCUUACCCAAAAGUUCUAUUUUAGUUUCAUCUGACC